UUAAGUCCCGCAACGAGCGCAACCCCUAUCCUCAGUUGCCAUCAUUAAGUUGGGCACUCUGUGGAGACUGCCGGUGUUAAACCGGAGGAAGGUGGGGAUGACGUCAAGUCCUCAUGGCCCUUAUGACCAGGGCUACACACGUGCUACAAUGGCCGGUACAAAGAGUUGCGAUACCGCGAGGUGGAGCUAAUCUCAUAAAGCCGGUCUCAGUUCGGAUUGGAGUCUGCAACUCGACUCCAUGAAGUUGGAAUCGCUAGUAAUCGCGGAUCAGCACGCCGCGGUGAAUACGUUCCCGGGCCUU
rnacentral:rRNA from 1 species